AACGAACGCUGGCGGCAUGCCUAACACAUGCAAGUCGAACGAGACCUUCGGGUCUAGUGGCGCACGGGUGCGUAACGCGUGGGAACCUGCCCUUAGGUUCGGAAUAAUUCCCCGAAAGGGGUGCUAAUACCGGAUAAUGUCUUCGGACCAAAGAUUUAUCGUCUUUGGAUGGGCCCGCGUUGGAUUAGCUAGUUGGUAGGGUAAAAGCCUACCAAGGCGACGAUCCAUAGCUGGUCUGAGAGGAUGAUCAGCCACACUGGGACUGGGACACGGCCCAGACUCCUACGGGAGGCAGCAGUGGGGAAUAUUGGACAAUGGGCGAAAGCCUGAUCCAGCUAUGCCGCGUGAGUGAUGAAGGCCUUAGGGUUGUAAAGCUCUUUUACCCGGGAUGAUAAUGACAGUACCGAGAGAAUAAGCUCCGGCUAACUCCGUG
rnacentral:rRNA from 1 species